GAGUUUGAUCGUGGCUCAGAUUGAACGCUGGCGGCAGGCCUAACACAUGCAAGUCGGGCGGUAGAGAGAAGCUUGCUUCUCUUGAGAGCGGCGGACGGGUGAGUAAUGCCUAGGAAUCUGCCUGGUAGUGGGGGAUAACGCUCGGAAACGGACGCUAAUACCGCAUACGUCCUACGGGAGAAAGCAGGGGACCUUCGGGCCUUGCGCUAUCAGAUGAGCCUAGGUCGGAUUAGCUAGUUGGUGAGGUAAUGGCUCACCAAGGCGACGAUCCGUAACUGGUCUGAGAGGAUGAUCAGUCACACUGGAACUGAGACACGGCCCAGACUCCUACGGGAGGCAGCAGUGGGGAAUAUUGGACAAUGGGCGAAAGCCUGAUCCAGCCAUGCCGCGUGUGUGAAGAAGGUCUUCGGAUUGUAAAGCACUUUAAGUUGGGAGGAAGGGCAGUAAAUUAAUACUUUGCUGUUUUGACGUUACUGACAGAAUAAGCACCGGCUAACUCUGUGCCAGCCGCCG
rnacentral:rRNA from 1 species